UACGUAGGGGGCAAGCGUUGUCCGGAUUUAUUGGGCGUAAAGAGCGCGCAGGCGGUCGUUCAAGUCGAGUGUGAAAGCCCCCGGCUCAACUGGGGAGGGUCACGCGAUACUGCUCGACUUGAAGGCAGGAGAGGGAAGUGGAAUUCCCGGUGUAGUGGUGAAAUGCGUAGAUAUCGGGAGGAACACCAGUGGCGAAGGCGACUUCCUGGCCUGUUCUUGACGCUGAGGCGCGAAAGCUAGGGUAGCAAACGGG
rnacentral:rRNA from 1 species